UUUUCUUGUGAAUUGCAUACUUUACAUGAAAUUUUGGUCUAAUUUUUUUUAAGUUCCUAAUCGCUACUAUACCACUAAGAAUUAAUAUUAUUCAUGAAAAUUUGGAUAUUGAGACAUUUGUUGAAUCCUUUUGUACACACAAGCCUUGUGAUAAGAUAGUGGUUUAACACAUGUAGCUACAUGAGUCUGUAAUUGAAAUUUUCUUAUGUGAGAGUGGUGAGGAUUGAGAGCUAUCACAUAUUAAAAAUGGCAAUAAGCACUCAUUGGUUUUGUGAAUUGGACACUUCUUUUGAGAAUAACAUUACAUGGUUUGUGGUAUGAUGGUUGAUUAUACUUGAUAAAUGAUAACAGUCAAUUUAGGAUUGAAUUUGAGCCUUCAGACUAAUUCUUUUCCAUAAUUAUAAUUCCCUAGUAGCCACUUUGAGCCAAUGCACAUUCAUAACAGUUUCUUUUCAUGUGCCUAAGUUAUCCAUACUCCUUACAUUGGAUUAAAGUCUAUAAAUAGUCAUUUUUCUACCUUUAUGCUUUCAAGUGUAUAGUAGGUGUUAAAUGCCCAUUUGAGAAGAAAAGUAACGAGGAAAGUGAUAAGAGAUGACAAGUACUCGAGUGAGGAGAAAACACAAAAGGAAAGGGAAUUGAAAAAAAAAAAUAGAAAAAGAAGAAAAAAAAUGAAAAAAGAAGAAGAGAGAGAGUGGAUUGUUGUUGGGAAUUGAAAGGUUGAGGAAUGCGUUGAUGUAAAGGAUUGCUAUGUUGAAAUACUUGUUGAGAAGUCUAGCUAGAUACUUGGAAGUUCUUAAAUUCUUUUUACCAUACUUUUCAUAUAACCCAACUUAACCCCUUUCAUACCCUUUGCAUUGACUUUUUUAUAUCAAGUCGAUUUGUCGUAAGAAGUUGAUGAAUUUUUUUUGAAAGUAUGCCUAUCAUGUGAUCAAUGUUUGCUUGUUGCUUGUUCAUAAAUAUGUAAGCAUCCAUGUUCCGAGUGUGCAUCUUUCCUAGCUCCAUAGAGAGAAACUCCACACUAAACACUUUAAUACACGUGAGCUAUGGGGUCGGACCUUUAGCUAGAGACACACUCGACCUUACAUGUGAUAGGGUUAGCGGUAAGAUAGCUAUGGCUUGACACACACUUACAAAUUUAGCAAGUGUUAUUGAUAUCUUGAUGAUCAUAACAUUGUUAAUUUCUUGUGGUGUUGAGUUUGAAAAGAUAAUGAACUGCAGCUGAAUUGGAACUCAACAACUUCACUUGUAAUAUGGAUCAAUUACUCAUUUGUUUUGUUCUGCAUUAAAUUGCUAGGGACUAGCAAUAAACAAGUUGGGGGUGUGAUAAGAGUGUAAACUAUGAUAUUUUUCCUUCUUAAUUAUUGCAUUCAUGUGAUUAUAUUAUGCCAAAAAUGCACUCAUUACUCCUAUAUUUUGGUUUAGGUUGCAUUUUGAUGGAAAAGAUGAAAUUCGAAAGAAAUAAGUGAAAAAUGACCAAAGUAGAAGAAAACGAAAGUUUGGGGACUAAAGUGCAAAUAGUACAAACUUGUUUCUAAGCUUAUGAUGAAGAUUCGAAAGUGUUAGAGGUCAAGUGGAUGAAGAUAGAAGUCAAAGGAAUGAAAUAACGUCAAAGUUUGAUCAUACUUCAAUUCACAAUCGAAAAAGUUACGCACCGAUUUUUAGUCUCAUAUUGGGACCCAUUUUUGACAUAGAAUAUGAUUGAAUUUAAAGAUGAUUUCUGAAGUGAAGUUUUAGCCCUUUUGAGUUAUUUGUCAAAUUCAACUUGAAUCACCUUAAUCAGAUAUCGGGAGAGAAAGUUAUGACCAAAAUACUGAAAGUUUUUCGACAGAGAAAAUGGGUUGAAACAUGCGGUCGCAUGGUUAUAAAUCCAUGCCGCCGCAUGUGUGCCUCUCGAGAAUUCCAAGACCCAAAUGGCUUGAACCAUGCGACCGCAUGGCUUAUAACCAUGUGGUCGCAUGGUUAUUCCUUAAGGCCAAAAUUUCUGUUUCGUUAAUCGACUCAAUCACUUAUGGAAACGUGGUUCCUACAAAUUUUAAACCCUAAUCUUGACUAGAACUCCUACCAUUCACCUCCUAUCACUUUUUUUUUUUUUUUAAUUCUUGGCUCAAGAAAUCCAUGGAGAACUAAACCUAUUGGUGAAGCCACGAAGGAUCUUGCUCGAAUUUGGGGAUUUCAACCUUCUCUCAUACAUGCAAUGUGAUUUAUGUUUUGAAAAAUAUUAUGGGAUUAAGAUUUCAAUUGUUCAUUGUUUUUUGAUAUUUGCUUAACUUCUAUUGAAUGUUUCAUGGAUUCGACCAUGCCUUUUCCAUUGAAUAAUUAAAAUACUUGUUGAGUUUGAAUUUCAAUUGAUUUAUUGACGUGAUUCGAUUACUAUCUUAUGCUUGAGGUAUAUUGUUGCUUCUUGAAUCUUGUUUCAAUAAGUAUUAACGGAAUGUGUUAAAUUUCGGUGAUGUCGUUCCACUUUUAUUUGUUUAAUUCCAAAAUUAUGCAAGGCUAAUUCUUUUUAUGCAUUGG
rnacentral:lncRNA from 1 species